ensembl:lncRNA
AGCUGGGGACUGAACCCAGGACCUUGCGCUUGCUAGGCAAGCGCUCUACCACUGAGCUAAAUCCCCAACCCUGUGGUCAGCACUCCUUAACAGAACCUCUGGCUUUCUCUUGCCCUGGUCCCUGAAGAGCUCUCAGUAGGUCACAUAUUCCUAGAUCUGGAAUCAAAGAGAGUUCUCUGGGUGGGUGUCUUGUCUCACGGGGUUGGUACAGUGGUCUCUGUGCUAUACCAAGUUGUGAGAGUCUGACUUUCAGGGCAGAGGAAGCCUUGGACAAGCUCUCUGCCAUUUCUAGUGUAGUCAGCGGGCAGGGGGACUAUAAAAACUUGAAACAACCAAAUUCCAGCUUUCACAUCACCUCUCUCAGCCUCUUCCCCAGCCACUUCAAGGAGCAGAAAUCCCUCUGUUGUCUUAUGGUGCUAAGUUAGAACACUCAGAGCAUCAGACUCCCAGGUCUGUCACCCCACAGUGUUGCUAAAAGAGGGUUGGAGAGGGAGGAGAGACGCCUGGGCCCACGUCCCCUCGGCUCAUUGUCUGCAGAAAUCCAGGUCAGGCUCCUGAGGCAGCACCCAGCCUGAGGCUGGACAGCCUUUCCCUGUCCUGUGAUGCUGAGCUGCCCUUUGCCCUUCUCCUUACAGCCUCUGUUCAGGAGGCCCCUAAGGAGGUGGUUGACCCCUCCAACGGCCAGGGCACUCGGCUUCAGUCCAUCCACCAAGCGAGUGCAUCGGCAAGGCCAAGCUGCGCAGUGUCAAGGAACACAAGCUUGAGAAGAAGAAACAGAAGGAGCAGGAGCAAGAUGAGGGACGAAGGAUGUCACAGUAGCCAGGCUCACUGUCUACUCACCAUAAGUCCCUCGUGGCUGUCCUGAUAGGUACCCUUGUCCCUCUGUGUGGUGCUACAGGACCUGCGGGGAAGCUUUCCUGUCUUGAGUUCUCCCAGUGAGGCUGAGGACUGAACCAUCGAGCCGAGACUGGGCCCAUGGAUAUACCAAAGGUCCAAGAGCAUACAACCAGCACAUGGCUGGGAGGCAGUGAGAGCUACCAGCCAAGGCGGGGACUUGAUGUCAGAUCUCUUCAACAAACUCGUCAUGAGGCGCAAAGGUAUCUCUGGAAAAGGACCUGGCACUGGCACCAGUGAGGGGCCUGGUGGAGCCUUCAGUUGAAUGUCAGACUCCAUUCCACCUCUGCCGCCCCCACAGCAGCCAGUAGGAGACGAGGACGAGGAUGACUGGGAGUCCUAAGAGUGCUUUGGGCCUUCUCCCCCACCAGCAGGAACAGCCUGCAGGGGAUCCUGGGCCAGUCGGUGCCUGUCAGGCUCUGUUACCAAGGAGCUGCAGGGGUUUGUGCAGGUGUCCCAAGCCUGUGCCUAAAUUCUCUUCAUGGAGUCGGGCUCUGUGAGCCGUCUGCUGCCUUCCCUGUUUCAUGCGACUGCUUCACUGGAUCCUUCCCCGAAGUGCUUCUUCCUUUGAAGGAUCCUGAGAGAAAACAGCAACAUGCUGGACUAAAGAAAGUAACUGUAGGCCUGAACCCCAGCCAACAGUGGCCUUUUAAUAAAUAAAGAGCAGCCAUGCGGGUUGUGGCUUCGGAGAAGG